AGUAACGGCGAGUGAAGCGGCAACAGCUCAAAUUUGAAAUCUGGCCCCCAGGGCCCGAGUUGUAAUUUGCAGAGGAUGCUUUUGGCGCGGUGCCUUCCGAGUUCCCUGGAACGGGACGCCAUAGAGGGUGAGAGCCCCGUCUGGUCGGACACCAAGCCAGUGUAAAGCUCCUUCGACGAGUCGAGUAGUUUGGGAAUGCUGCUCUAAAUGGGAGGUAUAUGUCUUCUAAAGCUAAAUACCGGCCAGAGACCGAUAGCGCACAAGUAGAGUGAUCGAAAGAUGAAAAGCACUUUGAAAAGAGGGUUAAACAGUACGUGAAAUUGUUGAAAGGGAAGCGUUUAUGACCAGACUUGGGCCCGGUGAAUCAUCCAGCGUUCUCGCUGGUGCACUUUGCCGGGCUCAGGCCAGCAUCAGUUCGUCGCGGGGGACAAAAGCUUCGGGAACGUGGCUCCCUCGGGAGUGUUAUAGCCCGUUGCAUAAUACCCUGCGGUGGACUGAGGUUCGCGCUCCGCAAGGAUGCUGGCGUAAUGGUCAUCAGCGACCCGUCUUGAAACACGGACCAAGGAGUCGUCUUCGUAUGCGAGUGUUCGGGUGUCAAACCCCUACGCGUAAUGAAAGUGAACGCAGGUGAGAGCUUCGGCGCAUCAUCGACCGAUCCUGAUGUUCUCGGAUGGAUUUGAGUAAGAGCAUACGGGGCCGGACCCGAAAGAAGGUGAACUAUGCCUGUAUAGGGUGAAGCCAGAGGAAACUCUGGUGGAGGCUCGCAGCGGUUCUGACGUGCAAAUCGAUCGUCAAAUAUGGGCAUGGGG
rnacentral:rRNA from 1 species